rnacentral:rRNA from 1 species
AGUGAACGCUGGCGGUAGGCCUAACACAUGCAAGUCGAACGGCAGCACAGGAGAGCUUGCUCUCUGGGUGGCGAGUGGCGGACGGGUGAGGAAUACAUCGGAAUCUACUUUUUCGUGGGGGAUAACGUAGGGAAACUUACGCUAAUACCGCAUACGACCUACGGGUGAAAGCAGGGGACCUUCGGGCCUUGCGCGAUUGAAUGAGCCGAUGUCGAAUUAGCGAGUUGGCGGGGUAAAGGCCCACCAAGGCGACGAUCCGUAGCUGGUCUGAGAGGAGGAUCAGCCACACUGGAACUGAGACACGGUCCAGACUCCUACGGGAGGCAGCAUUGGGGAAUAUUGGACAAUUGGCGCAAGCCUGAUCCAGCCAUACCGCGUGGGUGAAGAAGGCCUUCGGGUUGUAAAGCCCUUUUGUUGGGAAAGAAAUCCAGCUGGCUAAUACCCGGUUGGGAUGACGGUACCCAAAGAAUAAGCACCGGCUAACUUCGUGCCAGCCGCCGCAGUAA